GAGGCGAACCGGGGGAACUGAAACAUCUAAGUACCCCGAGGAAAAGAAAUCAACCGAGAUUCCGAAAGUAGCGGCGAGCGAAAUUGGACUAGCCCUUAAGCUUUACACGCGUUAGACGAACGGUCUGGAAAGUCCGACGAUACAGGGUGAUAGUCCCGUAGUUGACGACGUGUGUUCAGUGAAAUCGAGUAGGGCGGGACACGUGAUAUCCUGUCUGAAUAUGGGGGGACCAUCCUCCAAGGCUAAAUACUACUGACUGACCGAUAGUGAACCAGUACCGUGAGGGAAAGGCGAAAAGAACCCCUGUGAGGGGAGUGAAAUAGAACCUGAAACCGUGUACGUACAAGCAGUAGGAGCAGGCUUUGUCCUGUGACUGCGUACCUUUUGUAUAAUGGGUCAGCGACUUAUAUUCAGUGGCAAGGUUAACCAUCUAGGGGAGCCGUAGGGAAACCGAGUCUUAACUGGGCGUUCAGUCUCUGGAUAUAGACCCGAAACCAGGUGAUCUAGCCAUGGGCAGGUUGAAGGUUGAGUAACAUCAACUGGAGGACCGAACCGACUAAUGUUGAAAAAUUAGCGGAUGACUUGUGGCUAGGGGUGAAAGGCCAAUCAAACCUGGAGAUAGCUGGUUCUCCCCGAAAGCUAUUUAGGUAGCGCCUCGGACGAAUACUACUGGGGGUAGAGCACUGUUAAGGCUAGGGGGUCAUCCCGACUUACCAACCCUUUGCAAACUCCGAAUACCAGUAAGUACUAUCCGGGAGACACACGGCGGGUGCUAACGUCCGUCGUGGAGAGGGAAACAACCCAGACCGCCAGCUAAGGUCCCAAAUUACUACUAAGUGGGAAACGAUGUGGGAAGGCUCAGACAGCCAGGAUGUUGGCUUAGAAGCAGCCAUCAUUUAAAGAAAGCGUAAUAGCUCACUGGUCGAGUCGGCCUGCGCGGAAGAUGUAACGGGGCUAAGUAGUAAACCGAAGCUGCGGCAAUAUACUUUUGUAUAUUGGGUAGGGGAGCGUUCUGUAAGCGGUUGAAGGUGUGUGGUAACGCAUGCUGGACGUAUCAGAAGUGCGAAUGCUGACAUGAGUAACGAUAAAGGGGGUGAAAAACCUCCUCGCCGGAAGACCAAGGGUUCCUGUCCAACGUUAAUCGGGGCAGGGUAAGUCGACCCCUAAGGCGAGGCCGAAAGGCGUAGUCGAUGGGAAACGGGUUAAUAUUCCCGUACUUCUUACAAUUGCGAUGGGGGGACGGAGAAGGCUAGGUGGGCCUGGCGACGGUUGUCCAGGUUCAAGUGCGUAGGCUUAAGAGUUAGGUAAAUCCGGCUCUUUUUAAGGCUGAGACACGACGUCGAGCACCUACGGGUGUGAAGUCAUUGAUGCCAUGCUUCCAGGAAAAGCCUCUAAGCUUCAGAUUGUAAGGAAUCGUACCCCAAACCGACACAGGUGGUCGGGUAGAGAAUACCAAGGCGCUUGAGAGAACUCGGGUGAAGGAACUAGGCAAAAUGGUACCGUAACUUCGGGAGAAGGUACGCUCUUGAUGGUGAAGUCCCUCGCGGAUGGAGCUGACGAGAGUCGCAGAUACCAGGUGGCUGCAACUGUUUAUUAAAAACACAGCACUGUGCAAAAUCGUAAGAUGACGUAUACGGUGUGACGCCUGCCCGGUGCCGGAAGGUUAAUUGAUGGGGUUAGACUUCGGUCGAAGCUCUUGAUCGAAGCCCCGGUAAACGGCGGCCGUAACUAUAACGGUCCUAAGGUAGCGAAAUUCCUUGUCGGGUAAGUUCCGACCUGCACGAAUGGCGUAAUGAUGGCCACGCUGUCUCCACCCGAGACUCAGUGAAAUUGAAAUCGCUGUGAAGAUGCAGUGUACCCGCGGCUAGACGGAAAGACCCCGUGAACCUUUACUACAGCUUGGCACUGAACAUUGACCCUACAUGUGUAGGAUAGGUGGGAGGCUUUGAAGCACGUACGCCAGUAUGUGUGGAGCCGUCCUUGAAAUACCACCCUUGUAGUGUUGAUGUUCUAACGUCGACCCCUUAUCGGGGUUGCGGACAGUGCCUGGUGGGUAGUUUGACUGGGGCGGUCUCCUCCCAAAGAGUAACGGAGGAGCACGAAGGUGGGCUAAUCACGGUUGGACAUCGUGAGGUUAGUGCAAUGGCAUAAGCCCGCUUGACUGCGAGAAUGACAAUUCGAGCAGGUGCGAAAGCAGGUCAUAGUGAUCCGGUGGUUCUGAAUGGAAGGGCCAUCGCUCAACGGAUAAAAGGUACUCCGGGGAUAACAGGCUGAUACCGCCCAAGAGUUCAUAUCGACGGCGGUGUUUGGCACCUCGAUGUCGGCUCAUCACAUCCUGGGGCUGAAGUCGGUCCCAAGGGUAUGGCUGUUCGCCAUUUAAAGUGGUACGCGAGCUGGGUUUAGAACGUCGUGAGACAGUUCGGUCCCUAUCUGCCGUGGGCGUUGGAAGAUUGAAGGGGGCUGCUCCUAGUACGAGAGGACCGGAGUGGACGAACCUCUGGUGUUCGGGUUGUGUCGCCAGACGCAUUGCCCGGUAGCUAAGUUCGGAAUCGAUAACCGCUGAAAGCAUCUAAGCGGGAAGCGAGCCCUGAGAUGAGUCUUCCCUGAUACUUUAAGUAUCCUAAAGGGUUGUCGGAGACUACGACGUUGAUAGGUCAGGUGUGUAAGUGCUGUGAGGCAUUGAGCUAACUGAUACUAAUUGCCCGUGAGGCUUAACCAUACAACACCCAAGGGGUUU
rnacentral:rRNA from 1 species